CACGAGUGGCGAACGGGUGAGUAACACGUGGGUGAUCUGCCCUGCACUCUGGGAUAAGCCUGGGAAACUGGGUCUAAUACCGGAUAUGAGCUCGUGUCGAUGGUGAGGGUUGGAAAGGUUCCUGGAGGGGAAUGGGCCCCUGGACUAAAAGAUUGUUGGUGGGGUAAUGGCCUACCAAGGCGACGACGGGUAGCCGGCCUGAGAGGGCGACCGGCCACACUGGGACUGAGACUCGGCCCAUACUCCUACGGGAGGCAGCAGUGGGGAAUAUUGCACAAUGGGCGAAAGCCUGAUGGAGCGACUCCGCGUGAGGGAUGACGGCCUUCGGGUUGUAAACCUCUUUCAGCAGGGACGAAGCGAGAGUGACGGUACCUGCAGAAGAAGCACCGUCCAACUACGUGCCACCAUCUUCGGUUAUACGUAGGGUGCGAGCGUUGUCCGGAAUUACUGGGCGUAAAGAGCUCGAAGCCGUUUGUCGCGUCCUCCGUGAAAACUUGGGGCUCAACCCCAAGCUUGCGGGCCUUACUGGCAGACUUGAGCACUGCAGGGAAACUGGAAUUCCGGGUGGACCGGUUUAAAUGCGCAGAUAUCAGAGCAACUCCGGUGGGCGAGUGCGGGUCCUUUGGGCAUAAACUGUACGCUGAGGACAAAAAGCGUGGGUAGCGAACAGGAUUAGAUACCCUGGUAGUCCACGCCGUAAACGGUGGGCGCUAGGUGUGGGUUUCCUUCCACGGGAUCCGUG
rnacentral:rRNA from 2 species